rnacentral:rRNA from 1 species
AUUGAACGCUGGCGGCAGGCCUAACACAUGCAAGUCGAGCGGAGCGGCUGACGGGCGAGCAAUGCCUAGGAAUCUGCCUGGCAGUGGGGGAUAACGUCCGGAAACGGGCGCUAAUACCGCAUACUAUCAGAUGAGCCUAGGUCGGAUUAGCGUGUAGGUGGGGGAAAGGCCUACCAAGGCGACGAUCCGUAACUGGUCUGAGAGGAUGAUCAGUCAUACUGGAACUUAGACACGGUCCAGACUCCUACGUGAGGCAGCAGUGGGGAAUAUUGGACAAUGGGCGAUAGACUGAUCCAGCCAUGCCGAGUGUGUGAAGAAGUUCUUCGGUUUGUAAAGGUCUUUAAGUUGGGAGGCGUUACCAACAGAAUAAGCACCGGCUAACUUCGUGCCAGCAGCCGCGGUAAUUC